GACGAACGCUGGCGGCGUGCUUAACACAUGCAAGUCGAACGCUGAAGCUUGGUGCUUGCACUGGGUGGAUGAGUGGCGAACGGGUGAGUAAUACGUGAGUAACCUGCCCUUGACUCUGGGAUAAGCCUGGGAAACUGGGUCUAAUACUGGAUACGACAUGUCACCGCAUGGUGGUGUGUGGAAAGGGUUUUACUGGUUUUGGAUGGGCUCACGGCCUAUCAGCCUGUUGGUGGGGUAAUGGCUCACCAAGGCGACGACGGGUAGCCGGCCUGAGAGGGUGACCGGCCACACUGGGACUGAGACACGGCCCAGACUCCUACGGGAGGCAGCAGUGGGGAAUAUUGCACAAUGGGCGGAAGCCUGAUGCAGCGACGCCGCGUGAGGGAUGACGGCCUUCGGGUUGUAAACCUCUUUCAGCACGGAAGAAGCGAAAGUGACGGUACGUGCAGAAGAAGCGCCGGCUAACUACGUG
rnacentral:rRNA from 1 species